GCACAGAGUUUAAAGUCUGGCGACAGUGAAAUGGCUGUUGUGACCGGCGGAAGUGUCAUUAGCCACGUUGGAGAUAUUAUCGCAUUUAGCCAUUCUGGUGUUCUUGGCCCAUCAGGCAAAUGUUUCACAUUCGAUCACAGAGCUGAAGGUAUGCUCGUGGAGAAGGCGUGGGAACUAUCAUAGUCAAGAGGCUAUCAGAUGCACUUAAAGACGGAAACACUAUACGAGCGGUCAUUCGCGGAACCCUCGUGAACCAGGACGGCCGAACACCAGGCAUUGCCCUUCCAAGCGCUCAGGCACAAGAAACACUAAUUCGCCAACUCUAUAGCAAUGCGAAAUUGGACCCCAGGGACACAAUGUUUGUUGAAGCACACGGAACUGGCACACCCGUAGGAGACCCCAUU
rnacentral:sRNA from 1 species